GGUGUUGUGGCUCAGGGGCAGAGCGCUCGCCCGGCAGCCUAGCACGCGUGAGGCCCUGGGUUCAAUCCCCAGCACCACAG
rfam:Ictidomys tridecemlineatus contig066537, whole genome shotgun sequence.